CCCAGACAGAACAUGAGCUCGGCGCUACUGCCAAGUCGAAUUGGAGAUGGGUCCGAAGAUGGAAUGUGAUUUGGAGAUGGGAGCACGCAUGGGUCUUUGACUAGAAGAAAUCUCUCAACACUUAGAAGCUUGAAAUUUGCUGUAUUGCUUCUUCCUGUGAGAAAUUGGAAAAUUGGCCGUUGUUUCGUAGGUGAGGCUAGAUUCAUUUUAUCACCUAAUUCAAUUGUGAAUCGACAACUUUGUGAAGCGAGAGCAGCAUGGAUAGUCAUGGUUUUGUUGUCAGCAGAUUUGGCGAAGUUUGUAGCUAUGAGCCUAUGACAGCUUUGGGAGACGGGGCUCCGGCAUGUUCAUCGGGAUGCUGCCCGGCAUGAGGCCAUCGGGACGCUACCCGACAUGGUUCAUCGGGACGCUGCCCGGUAUGAGUCAUCGGGACGCUGCCCGGCAUGAGUUCAUCGGGACGCUGCCCGGCAUGAGUUCAUCGGGAUGCUGCCCCGCAUGAGGUCAUGCAUGGUUCAUCGGGACGCUGCCCGGCAUGGUUCAUCGGGACGCUGCCCGGCAUGGUUCAUCGGGACGCUGCUCGGCAUGGUUCAUCGGAGACGCUGCUCCGGCAUGUUGUCUUUGACAUCAUUGACAGUCGAAGGUGCCGUUGUGGGGAGGGCCUGCAACAGAAAAGAAAAGGAGGUGGAGAGCGAUGGAAUGAGGUUUGAACCUUUUGUCUUCCAAGCUCCUUUGCUGCUUUCUCCUUCUGCUUUUGCACCACUGCUGUCCUCCCCUUUUCUGCUCUUCAUGUGGUGCUUAUAUACCGCACUCGAGAUGAGUUUGGCUUGUGUAUACAACAUAGAGAGUUUUAGAGUUCAACUUGAAGUGAACUAGUUGGACAUAACUUUUGACGUGAAGACUGCGACUUCUUUUUCAAUUUCUUGUCUAGACUUUCAAACAAGCUAGAAGUCAGAUGCUUUGCGAACCCAAUAUAAGCAGCUUAAUUAUUUCUUUUGUUUAGAGUUUCACUAGCUAUCAAAC